GACGAGGGGUCCUAGCGUUGUUCGGAAUCACUGGGCGUAAAGCGUAUGUAGGCGGCUCUCUAAGUCGGUCGUGAAAUCCCAUGGCUUAACCAUGGAAUUGCGUUCGAAACUGGAGAGCUUGAGUGUGGGAGAGAUUGGUAGAAUACCUGGCGUAAUGGUGAAAUACGUAGAUAUCAGGUGGAAUACCGGUGGCGAAGGCGGCCAAUUGGCCCAACACUGACGCUGAGAUACGAAAGCGUGGGGAUCAAACAGG
rnacentral:rRNA from 1 species